GUGCCAGCCGCCGCGGUAAUACGUAGGGUGCGAGCGUUAAUCGGAAUUACUGGGCGUAAAGCGUGCGCAGGCGGUUUUGUAAGACAGGUGUGAAAUCCCCGGGCUUAACCUGGGAACUGCGCUUGUGACUGCAAGACUCGAGUACGGCAGAGGGGGGUGGAAUUCCACGUGUAGCAGUGAAAUGCGUAGAGAUGUGGAGGAACACCGAUGGCGAAGGCAGCCCCCUGGGUCGAUACUGACGCUCAUGCACGAAAGCGUGGGGAGCAAACAGGAUUAGAUACCCGUGUAGUCC
rnacentral:rRNA from 1 species